GAGCGCGUGGUCCUGGUCGCGAGCACAUGGAAGUGAGGUCGAGAUUUGUGUCUGUGAGACGCGCGACUGAUCACCAGGGAAAAAAAGGGAAUAUAAAAGCGAUAAAGGAUCGAGACAAACUGUGGUCCCAGCGGGUGGGUGGUGUUGCAGACCCUCAUGCAGUCCCAGGUUUUUACUCGCAGCUGCUGUGCUUAAGAUGACUGGAGAUACUGAUCUGAAUGGGAAGGAUGCAAAGGUGGAAGCAGUCAGUGUUGGAUUCGGUUUCACUGCGUCUUAAUGACACAUACACAUACACACACACAGCAUGGUUUUUAAUACUAUCUACUUCCCCCUUUCAUUGAGAGGACACAGAUACACCCUGAAUGGGCCCCUGUGGUGAUCUACAUUGUGGUUGGGAAGUACCUAAUGUUACAACUGCCGUGCUGGUCCGCUUAAAGGGACAGUGCUGAUUACUUUCAUGUGCAGUGCGUUCUCUUGUCAGGGCUUUUCAUUUAUCCGAAGAGUUUAAUGUUUUUGAGUUGUUGCCUUGAUAGUGAGUGAGCAAUUUUUCUGUGCAGAGUUCAGGAGUCAACAAGGGUCUUCUCUGUAUUAAACACUGCAGUUUGUAAAUGAUCAUGACGUCACAUUGACUCACUUGAAAUUCAGAAAGAGUUGAAGGGGACUGAUGUUGAUAUUUGUUUAAUAUAACCCUUUCAUUGUAUGCAUGAUCCUUUUUAUCGCUCUAAAAUAAGAGCUAUAAUUGCAAGAGUAUUCAUUCUUUUUGAAACCGAAAGCUAAGGCGUCUGUUUUCUCUGUCAUCGUGUUGUUACCUUACAUAACCUUACCGUACGUGUGGUGCAAACGCAGUAUUUCACCACAUUUAUGCCGGUAUUUCCCUAUAAUUGCCACAUGAUCUAAAAUAAAAAACAUAAUAGCCAGAACAUCCUUUCUUUUCGCAGCAGAAAGCUAAGACUUCUGUCUUCCAAGGUCAUCAUGUUGUAUGCUAAUGAUGAUGUCAUUACACUAUGUUAAGUAUGGUGCAAAACUGCACGUCAGGCAAGAGAAAUAAAUAGACAAUUUACUCUAACGCCUUUGCACUCUGCUUAUAAAAAUGAGCAUAUCUCAAAAAAUCAAUAAUGUACAUAUUUCAAAUAACUUGCGGAGUGUUAAGAAAUAUUUUGUUUAUGUUUGACAUGUAGAAACUCUUUUGGAUCAACAUGUUUUGUGUGUUUAUUCUGUAAAAUCAGGUGAAAAAAAUGUUGGAUUUUAUUUUAUUUUUUUUGACACAAUUUUAAUACUUUUAUCAAUAGUUAUGGUUUAUUGACUUACAUAACCUUUUAAGAAUAUAUUUUGAAGAUACUCCAAGAAAUGACAUCACAAUAGGCAAAAAUACCAGUAUAGGCACGUGCAGACCUUUUCUGUUGCAGAGUUAAUAUGUUUGAAGGUGUCCAUCUUCAUGCUCUUAAAAAAGAAAGAGAGAAGUCUGCUCAAAUUUUCCCAGCUUGACAAAUUUAUAAUUGCUGAGGUCAUGAGGAUUCAGUGCCAGAAUACAUUGAGAAUUCGUGUUAUAGUGUAAAUGAAGUCUAACCACAGCGAGGUGAAAGAGGAAUGGAAUUUGUUUCGCAAUAGUUUAUAAAACCACAUACAUUUUUCCUUGUGUAUUCAGCGCUCGUGUUGUUGUAUGUCUGUUCUGGCACUUAACACUGUUGUAUGUUUUGAAAAAGCUGCACACUUGUCUGAAUAAAUCUCUCACUCUGGC